rnacentral:lncRNA from 1 species
GAAACAAAAUGAAAAGUUAGAGAAGGACGUCAAAACUAUGUACAAAAUAUGUUGCAAAUCUUUUCUAUCAAACAUAAACCAGUAACCAUGGUUUAAAUCAGAUUAUCCAUAGAAAGGAUGAGGGGGAAAAGAAAAAGUUAAGGCAUGAACUCGGAUCAAAAUCAGAGGUAUGGUAAGCAUUAUCAAUCUGUUUGGCUGUACCAAAAAUGACUGUGUAUUUAGUAUAAUAUCCCACAAUAAACUAUAUUAAAGUUUUGCGAUGAAAAAGCUAUACAGAGAAAACCGCAAGUCAAAUGAACUUUGAAUAACUAAGCAUGAUGAGAGAAAGGGAAAACCUGGCCAAGAUCCUCCAUUAUGGUAACUCCAUCUGGUAUUUUUGGGAUCACAGCCAGUAACAAUUCGCCACUCGUGACUUUCUAUUGCAGGGUAACUAAUUUUUAGCGGCAUUUCUCCAACCAACUCAUCCCAACGAGCUUCAAUAAGAUCCAUGAUUGCCAUUGACUGCUCUGGAGUUGCUAAAGAAGAAAGAAUUGCAACACAGUUUCCUAAAGCAAACCAUCGAAAAUCCAUUCG